CAAGAUCUAAUGUGGCUGAAAAUCUCUCUCUCAUACGUACUUUUCUCUGUUCAAAAUCUCUCUCUUUCAAUUUUCAAAUUUUGAACACACACCUCUCUCUCUCUCUCUCUCUCUACCUCCAUCGGAGCCCAUUCCUUUGUCGGAGACCCAACCCUUGCCGGAGACCCAACCCCGAACCCCCUAUUACUCUCUUUAUCUUCUCUCUUCCCCCCUCUCUGUCUCUGCCAUCCCUCUUCGUCAACAGUGGCAGCCCCAAACGCCCUUCAAUAUUGAUGACGACCGAAUUGCAAAAGGAAGAAUCUAAAGAAUGAAAACAGUGGACUUUACACAGGAGAUGGUUCAGUGAACAUCAAGGGGGAACCUGUGUUGAAGAGCAACAUUGGGAAUUGGAGAGCAUGCCCCUUCAUUCUUGGUACUGAAUGCUGUGAACGCUUAGCUUAUUAUGGGAUUGCUACAAAUCUUGUCACUUAUCUCACCACAAAAUUACACGAAGGAAAUGUCUCUGCUGCAAGAAAUGUUACGCUUAGCUUAUAUAUGUGAUUAGCUUU